rnacentral:rRNA from 1 species
AACGAACGCUGGCGGCAUGCCUAACACAUGCAAGUCGAGCGAGAUCUUCGGGUCUAGUGGCGCACGGGUGCGUAACGCGUGGGAAUCUGCCCUUUGGUUCGGAAUAACAGUUGGAAACGACUGCUAAUACCGGAUGAUGACGAAAGUCCAAAGAUUUAUCGCCAGAGGAUGAGCCCGCGUAGGAUUAGCUAGUUGGUGUGGUAAAGGCGCACCAAGGCGACGAUCCUUAGCUGGUCUGAGAGGAUGAUCAGCCACACUGGGACUGAGACACGGCCCAGACUCCUACGGGAGGCAGCAGUGGGGAAUAUUGGACAAUGGGCGAAAGCCUGAUCCAGCAAUGCCGCGUGAGUGAUGAAGGCCUUAGGGUUGUAAGGCUCUUUUACCCGGGAUGAUAAUGACAGUACCGGGAGAAUAAGCUCCGGCUAACUCCGUGCCAGCAGCCGCCGUAA